rnacentral:lncRNA from 1 species
CCGACGAUGACAGAGUCGAUCUCUCCAACUAGGGCGAUAGAUCUGACGGCAAAAGCCCGAUCGUCCCUAGAAGAAGCUCAACAAAGUCAUUUCUGCAAACGAAGAUCGAAGCCCGACGAUGACAGAGUCGAUCUCUCCUACUAGGGCGAUAGAUCUGACGGCAGAAGCCCGAUCGUCCCUAGAAGAAGCUCGACAAAGUCAUUCCUGCAAAAAAAAAAAAAACAAAAACAAAACAAAAACAAAAACAAACAACACAAAAAAAAAAAAAAACAAACAAAACAAACAAAAAAAAACAAAACAAACAAAAUAAAAAACACACACACAAAAAAAAGAGAAAAAAAAAAAGAGAAAGGAGAAGAAAAGUUUUCUAUACCUUUCCGCUGAUUGGAUGAGGAAUAAGCGUUGGAUGAGGUAUAAGUGAGUAGGGUAUGAGUCUAUUUAUAAGCCCAACAAAUCCAAUUCCUACAAAGGAUUAGGAAUGAUAUUUAAUUAUUUUUUAAAAAAAAACAAAUCCAAUUCCUAAAAGGAAUAGGAAUGAUUUUUAAAAAUAUAUAUAUAUAA